AAUUGUUUUUCUGGUUUUUAGUCUGAUACGGAUUUCAAGUGGGAUGAUUUAUCAAAUGAGACGCUUGACGAGCUGUCUGAGCUAUUGAGUAUGGAGCGGUCUGAACUUGAAGAGACAGUGCAUGAAAGCAAAUGCGAUGAAAUCUCUGCCAUGUUCAACAUGGUAAUGGAUAAGAAACGCCUUGCUAAAGGUAUAUUCGAUCAGGAUCACACUGCU